GCUGGCGGCACGCCUAACACAUGCAAGUCGAACGAAGUAGCAAUACUUAGUGGCAGACGGGUGAGUAACAUGUAGGUAUCUACCCUUUGGCCUGGAAUAACACGAGGAAACUUGUGCUAAUACCGGAUAAGUCUUUACGGAGAAAGCUUUAUGCACCAUUGGAUGAGCCUGCACUUGAUUAGUUUGUUGGUGGGGUAAUGGCCUACCAAGACUGUGAUCAAUAGCUGAUUUGAGAGGAUGAUCAGCCACAUUGGGACUGAGACACGGCCCAAACUCCUACGGGAGGCAGCAGUGGGGAAUCUUGCACAAUGGAGGAAACUCUGAUGCAGCGAUGCCGCGUGAGUGAAGAAGGCCCUUGGGUUGUAAAGCUCUUUCGUCGGGGAAGAAAAUGACUGUACCCGAAUAAGAAGGUCCGGCUAACUUCGUGCCAGCAGCCGCGGUAAUACGAAGGGACCUAGCGUAGUUCGGAAUUACUGGGCUUAAAGAGUUCGUAGGUGGUUGAAAAAGUUGGUGGUGAAAUCCCAGAGCUUAACUCUGGAACUGCCAUCAAAACUUUUCAGCUAGAGUUUGAUAGAGGAAAGCAGAAUUUCUAGUGUAGAGGUGAAAUUCGUAGAUAUUAGAAAGAAUACCAAUUGCGAAGGCAGCUUUCUGGAUCAUUACUGACACUGAGGAACGAAAGCAUGGGUAGCGAAGAGGAUUAGAUACCCUCGUAGUCCAUGCCGUAAACGAUGUGUGUUAGACGUUGGAAAUUUAUUUUCAGUGUCGCAGCGAAAGCGAUAAACACACCGCCUGGGGAGUACGAC
rnacentral:rRNA from 1 species